AGUUUAUGCCCAUUGCCUCUUGACCUUGUUGUUAUAUACCACUGAGAAGAGUCUGGCUCCAACUCUACACCAUAUAUCAGUAGCUGGUAUCGCCUGAGGUUAGAUGCUCUAUAAAUUGUCACAUGAUGCACAGUCACUCUCUGGGAAUGAACACAAUGGGACUUUUAAAAUGCUUAGAAAUGUAGAGUGAGAAAAAUGCCAAUGAUUGCAGCCUUUGAGGAAGGAGCAGUUAAUGGAUCUCCAAGGAAAUACCCGGAAUACAGCUGCUCUGUGGGGGAGAGGAGGUCAGUAGCAGCUGAGCAGGGGCUGGAGGCAGCUCACCAUCUCAGAUUUGAGAUAUAUGCUGGCUGCUGAUAACGUGGGAUGUUAAAAUGACAGAAUUGGGGUUGA